CAGUCGAACGGAGAUUAUACGCAGAGGCGAUUUCGGUCAAAUCAUGUAAAAUCUUAGUGGCGGACGGGUGAGUAACGCGUGGGUAACCUGCCUUACACUGGGGGAUAACACUUAGAAAUAGGUGCUAAUACCGCAUAAGCGCACGAAGCCGCAUGGAUUUGUGUGAAAAACUCCGGUGGUGUAAGAUGGACCCGCGUCUGAUUAGCUUGUUGGCGGGGUAACGGCCCACCAAGGCGACGAUCAGUAGCCGGCCUGAGAGGGUGGACGGCCACAUUGGGACUGAGACACGGCCCAAACUCCUACGGGAGGCAGCAGUGGGGGAUAUUGGACAAUGGGGGGAACCCUGAUCCAGCGACGCCGCGUGAGUGAAGAAGUAUUUCGGUAUGUAAAGCUCUGUCAGCAGGGAAGAAAGAAAUGACGGUACCUGACCAAGAAGCCCCGGCUAACUACGUGCCAGCAGCCGCGGUAAUACGUAGGGGGCAAGCGUUAUCCGGAAUUACUGGGUGUAAAGGGAGCGUAGACGGUUAAGUAAGUCUGGAGUGAAAGGCGGGGGCCCAACCCCCGGACUGCUCUGGGAACUGUCUAGCUAGAGUGCAGGAGGGGUAAGUGGAAUUCCUAGUGUAGCGGUGAAAUGCGUAGAUAUUAGGAGGAACACCAGUGGCGAAGGCGGCUUACUGGACUGUAACUGACGUUGAGGCUCGAAAGCGUGGGGAGCAAACAGGAUUAGAUACCCUGGUAGUCCACGCCGUAAACGAUGAUCACUAGGUGUCGGGUGUUAAGGAACGCUCGGUGCCGCAGCAAACGCAAUAAGUGAUCCACCUGGGGAGUACGUUCGCAAGAAUGAAACUCAAA
rnacentral:rRNA from 1 species